GUUCAUAAUACAUAUUAUAAUAAUAUAUAAACGAUAAAAACAUGUAAAAAAUUAAUAUGUUGAAAAGAAUUAAAAUAUAAAUUACAUUUCAAGUAAAUAUGAAGAACUUUGAACUUGGUCUUUGCUGGCUCUUAUUUCUUCUAAUACAGGUUGUAAGCGCUUUUGCCUGUAAGCGAAAAUCAUCCUGCCGUCCCCCACGUUGUCCCGGCGGUUGCAAGCCCAAGUACUGGUGAACGACAAAAACUUCGUUUGAAUUUAUUAAUUUACAGAAUAAUGGUAUUUUCACUGCUAUGGCGUUACGUGUGGUGGGUGGCGUGGUGCGCGGCGUGUCUGGUUGCGGGGACGAGAGGCUGUAAGAAAAAAACAAUCUGUCGUCCACCUCCCGGUGGCCGACCUGGCUGUGGAGGGAG